GAUCAUUUCUAUAUUAAUUGCGUUUUUAAACAGCUUGGAAAAACAGUUUCUUCAUAUAUAUUGACGAAAUAGGGUAUACCUGUGUCCAAGCUCCGGUUGGCGUGACAUUUCAUACUCCCUUACGUUACAUUCCAUAUUCACUUACGUUGCCACUGUUUUUUUGUUGAUCUUUUUUGCUUAAACCUUGUUAUCUACACUAUACAAUAAAAGAGAGUACUUAAAACUAGUCAAUCGGGUAGAAAAUUGAUUCAUUAAUCGGAUAAAAUUAUGUGGGCAGACCUAAAUGUUUUAGUUAGGCAGCAUUAUUCAACGGAAUAAAGAAAUUGAGCAAUUGGAACGGUACUCGUUUGUUUAUGCUACUGUUGUAUGAGUAAAAGUGCCUUGUGCGUCUGCCUACAGUGGCUUCAAAUGACAUUAAAGUUGAGCCACAGAGUCUGCAGUUGCAAAGCCAAAAAGACCGGCGGCGCCCUUUGCCGCAGUUGGGGCCCACUACUCCGCCCUGCCUCAGCCCCCAGACCACCCCGGAGGGUCUCCACACGGACUGUUCAUCAACAAGUAAGUGGCACAAGAGCAAAUCGGGCAAAACAUUUUAAACCAUUAAUGCGACCACAGAGCAGACCAUCGCUGAAACUGGCCUUGAAACUGGGACCCAUACUGGCUACCGGCAACACCAUCGUUUUAAAGCCAGCCUAAAUCAGUCAAUGUUUUGCCAGGUUUCGGUGGAGCCGGCGCUAACCUGGCCAAUCUCGCCAAUGUCGCCAAGGACGUGCCCUUCAUCCCCCCCAGCUACGACAGACUGCCCGAAUGUGCCGCUGCCGGUGCCCGGCAAGAAUAUUCGUGCCCAGGUGAAGCCGUCUCUCAUAUUCAGCUGCCUUAGCUUCGCAACCCGUGCAUGCCAUGAAAGCGAGGCGUGUGGAGCUGGAAGGAGUCACGGCGCUGGCCGUUGACCAACAGUCCGAAGAAGUUAUAGACAUCAAUGGAAAGAACAAAAAACCCCUUGCUUCCAUGCAUUCCAUGCAUACCUCUUCUCUAAAACUUAAAGCGCGCCAUUCCUAAGGCGACACCUCGUACUUCCAUUGAUUGGUAAUAGACUAGCUGCUGGAGUCCAGCGAAAUGCGGCCCUGAUAGAGGCCGAUGCUUCUCUAUAGUAAAGCUACCAAUUAUUUUGCUCAAGAAAUAA